rnacentral:sRNA from 1 species
AAAUUGUAUUUGUUGUAUUAAUAUUAUUUGUUUUGUUUAAUGUUUACAAUUGUAUAAUUAUAUUUUGAUUAUUAAUUCUAGGGUUUCACGCAUAGUAUAUCAUCCCAUAAUAAUAUCGAUCCAGACAUGUUCUAUAUUUUAGGGUCCAAAAUGUUUAAAUAAUUACAAAAUAAGGUCUAAAUUUUAAAUAUUUAAAAUUUAAGUAAACAAAUUGGAACUUAAAACCGGGUCCAUUAAUUUAUUGGACCGGCCUGACCUUGUUAGUAGCCAAUAUCGUUAUAAAUAUGUAUUAUAUAAACAUUUAUAGGGCCCGCAUUUAUAUAAGCAAUGCGAUCCCUUACUUAUCCAUUUUUGACAUUACUUUUGAGACAGAUUGCAAGGAGUUGACACAGCUUUUGGACACUCCUGAUGAGUGGCCCGCAUUUUCUUCGGAGUUAGAAGAUUUUAAUGCUUUAAAGUCUAGAUUUCCUCGUUUUUCUUUAUCUUUUAUUCCACGUUUAAACAAUGUCCGUGCUGAUUAUUUUGCUAAGAAGGCAAGAGCACGAGGUUCUAUUUUUUCUCAUGUAAGCUCAUCAGGAUCCUAACUGAAAAAACGAUCCAUCAGAACAACAGCCCACAUGACUUACCCAAAGACUAAUCAUGCCUAAAGCCCAUCAGAUUUUAUGCCCAUUUACAACAAAUAAAAAUAGAAACUUGUUAAUAUUUUCGGUUGCCAAGGAUCGAACCAACCACCUUCUACCUUUAAUAGCAUAGAAAACAAUUAGACUUCAAGACGUUCUUUAAAAUUUGAUGCCCUCUAAAAUACAUAUAAAUCUUUUUACCUAAAGCAUCUAUUUGGUGGGCUUUAGGUCUGGGUCAAGCUUGACGGCCUAUCAGGCCAAGGGCUCGGCCCAAAUAAAGAAGGCUCAGCCCAUAAAACUUAAGAGAGAAUUCCUCCUUAACUCUUUGAUCUCUUACUUUCUGGUUUUUCGUUAUGUACUUUCGGUCUUUUGUUCUGUACUUUUGGUUUUAUGUUUUAUUAAUUACUAUUCUCAUUCAUCGUUGAUAAAAAAGCGGCCCCAUUCUCCCAAAAAAUCCCUUAGUUACUUAUUAUUACAACUUCAUUACAAAAAAUUGGCGUCCACCAUGGGGCUAGGAAGAGUUUUCUCCUUUAUUGA